rnacentral:rRNA from 1 species
CUACGGGACGCUGCAGUGGGGAAUAUUGCACAAUGGGCGCAAGCCUGAUGCAGCAACGCCGCGUGAGGGAUGAAGGCCUUCGGGUUGUAAACCUCUUUUAGCAGGGAAGAAGCGAAAGUGACGGUACCUGCAGAAAAAGCACCGGCUAACUACGUGCCAGCAGCCGCGGUAAUACGUAGGGUGCAAGCGUUGUCCGGAAUUAUUGGGCGUAAAGAGCUCGUAGGCGGUUUGUCACGUCUGCUGUGAAAAUCCAAGGCUCAACCUUGGACUUGCAGUGGGUACGGGCAGGCUAGAGUGCGGUAGGGGAGAUGGGAAUUCCUGGUGUAGCGGUGGAAUGCGCAGAUAUCAGGAGGAACACCAAUGGCGAAGGCACAUCUCUGGGCCGUAACUGACGCUGAGGAGCGAAAGCGUGGGGAGCGAACAGGAUUAGAUACCCGGGUAGUC